AUGGAGAGUUUGAUUCUGGCUCAGAACGAACGCUGGCGGCGUGGAUAAGACAUGCAAGUCGAACGAGAGAAUUGCUAGCUUGCUAAUAAUUCUCUAGUGGCGCACGGGUGAGUAACACGUGAGUAACCUGCCCCCGAGAGCGGGAUAGCCCUGGGAAACUGGGAUUAAUACCGCAUAGUAUCGAAAGAUUAAAGCAGCAAUGCGCUUGGGGAUGGGCUCGCGGCCUAUUAGUUAGUUGGUGAGGUAACGGCUCACCAAGGCGAUGACGGGUAGCCGGUCUGAGAGGAUGUCCGGCCACACUGGAACUGAGACACGGUCCAGACACCUACGGGUGGCAGCAGUCGAGAAUCAUUCACAAUGGGGGAAACCCUGAUGGUGUGACGCCGCGUGGGGGAAUGAAGGUCUUCGGAUUGUAAACCCCUGUCAUGUGGGAGCAAAUUAAAAAGAUAGUACCACAAGAGGAAGAGACGGCUAACUCUGUGCCAGCAGCCGCGGUAAUACAGAGGUCUCAAGCGUUGUUCGGAAUCACUGGGCGUAAAGCGUGCGUAGGCUGUUUCGUAAGUCGUGUGUGAAAGGCGCGGGCNGGAAACUGGGAUUAAUACCGCAUAGUAUCGAAAGAUUAAAGCAGCAAUGCGCUUGGGGAUGGGCUCGCGGCCUAUUAGUUAGUUGGUGAGGUAACGGCUCACCAAGGCGAUGACGGGUAGCCGGUCUGAGAGGAUGUCCGGCCACACUGGAACUGAGACACGGUCCAGACACCUACGGGUGGCAGCAGUCGAGAAUCAUUCACAAUGGGGGAAACCCUGAUGGUGCGACGCCGCGUGGGGGAAUGAAGGUCUUCGGAUUGUAAACCCCUGUCAUGUGGGAGCAAAUUAAAAGAUAGUACCACAAGAGGAAGAGACGGCUAACUCUGUGCCAGCAGCCGCGGUAAUACAGAGGUCUCAAGCGUUGUUCGGAAUCACUGGGCGUAAAGCGUGCGUAGGCUGUUUCGUAAGUCGUGUGUGAAAGGCGCGGGCUCAACCCGCGGACGGCACAUGAUACUGCGAGACUAGAGUAAUGGAGGGGGAACCGGAAUUCUCGGUGUAGCAGUGAAAUGCGUAGAUAUCGAGAGGAACACUCGUGGCGAAGGCGGGUUCCUGGACAUUAACUGACGCUGAGGCACGAAGGCCAGGGGAGCGAAAGGGAUUAGAUACCCCUGUAGUCCUGGCAGUAAACGGUGCACGCUUGGUGUGCGGGGAAUCGACCCCCUGCGUGCCGGAGCUAACGCGUUAAGCGUGCCGCCUGGGGAGUACGGUCGCAAGAUUAAAACUCAAAGAAAUUGACGGGGACCCGCACAAGCGGUGGAGUAUGUGGCUUAAUUCGAUGCAACGCGAAGAACCUUACCUGGGCUUGACAUGUAAUGAACAACAUGUGAAAGCAUGCGACUCUUCGGAGGCGUUACACAGGUGCUGCAUGGCCGUCGUCAGCUCGUGUCGUGAGAUGUUUGGUUAAGUCCAGCAACGAGCGCAACCCCUGUUGCCAGUUACCAGCACGUGAAGGUGGGGACUCUGGCGAGACUGCCCAGAUCAACUGGGAGGAAGGUGGGGACGACGUCAGGUCAGUAUGGCCCUUAUGCCCAGGGCUGCACACGUACUACAAUGCCCAGUACAGAGGGGGCCGAAGCCGCGAGGCGGAGGAAAUCCUAAAAACUGGGCCCAGUUCGGACUGUAGGCUGCAACCCGCCUACACGAAGCCGGAAUCGCUAGUAAUGGCGCAUCAGCUACGGCGCCGUGAAUACGUUCCCGGGUCUUGUACACACCGCCCGUCACAUCAUGGAAGCCGGUCGCACCCGAAGUAUCUGAAGCCAACCGCAAGGAGGCAGGGUCCUAAGGUGAGACUGGUAACUGGGAUGAAGUCGUAACAAGGUAGCCGUAGGGGAACCUGCGGCUGGAUCACCUCCUUUCUAUGGA
rnacentral:rRNA from 1 species